rnacentral:rRNA from 1 species
UACGGGGGGGGCAAGCGUUGUUCGGAAUUACUGGGCGUAAAGGGCUCGUAGGCGGCCAACUAAGUCAUACGUGAAAUCCCUCGGCUUAACCGGGGAACUGCGUCUGAUACUGGAUGGCUUGAGAUUGGGAGAGGGAUGCGGAAUUCCAGGUGUAGCGGUGAAAUGCGUAGAUAUCUGGAGGAACACCGGUGGCGAAGGCGGCAUCCUGGACCAACACUGACGCUGAGGAGCGAAAGCUAGGGGAGCAAACGGG